rnacentral:rRNA from 1 species
UACGGAGGGGGCUAGCGUUGUUCGGAAUUACUGGGCGUAAAGCGCACGUAGGCGGAUUUGUUAGUCAGGGGUGAAAUCCCGGGGCUCAACCUCGGAACUGCCUUUGAUACUGCAAAUCUCGAGUCCGGAAGAGGUGAGUGGAAUUCCUAGUGUAGAGGUGAAAUUCGUAGAUAUUAGGAAGAACACCAGUGGCGAAGGCGGCUCACUGGUCCGGCACUGACGCUGAGGUGCGAAAGCGUGGGGAGCAAACAGG